rnacentral:rRNA from 1 species
UCGCGAGACAGUUUGUAUGAUAUCUACUAGGUGUGUUAUUGUCUGAGUGGAACGAGUUAGUAGUACGAGAGGAACCUGACUCGGAUGCCUCUGGUGAGCGGUUGUCAUUGGCAGGCCGCAUAGCUACGCAUUUUAUGGAUAAGAGCUGAAAGCAUCUAAGCUCGAAGCCACCCGCAAGACGAGACAAUUAAAGCCGUCGAAAAACACGACGUCGAUAGAGUUGCUGUGUAAGGCUCAAGCCGCAAGGCGAGAGUUUCAGCAGACAACUACUAAAAGCUUCACUUGUGAUUUAA